UUUCACAGAGGGAUAGCCCAGAGAAAUUUGGAUUAAUACCUCAUAGCAUAGUAUUCUCGCAUGAGAUCACUAUUAAAGAUUUAUCGGUGAAAGAUGAGCAUGCGUCCCAUUAGUUAGUUGGUAAGGUAACGGCUUACCAAGACUACGAUGGGUAGGGGUCCUGAGAGGGAGAUCCCCCACACUGGUACUGAGACACGGACCAGACUCCUACGGGAGGCAGCAGUGAGGAAUAUUGGACAAUGGGCGCAAGCCUGAUCCAGCCAUGCCGCGUGCAGGAUGACGGUCCUAUGGAUUGUAAACUGCUUUUAUACAGGAAGAAACACCUCUACGUGUAGAGACUUGACGGUACUGUAAGAAUAAGGAUCGGCUAACUCCGUGCCAGCAGCCGCGGUAAUACGGAGGAUCCAAGCGUUAUCCGGAAUCAUUGGGUUUAAAGGGUCCGUAGGCGGUUUAGUAAGUCAGUGGUGAAAGCCCAUCGCUCAACGGUGGAACGGCCAUUGAUACUGCUAGACUUGAAUUAUUAGGAAGUAACUAGAAUAUGUAGUGUAGCGGUGAAAUGCUUAGAGAUUACAUGGAAUACCAAUUGCGAAGGCAGGUUACUACUAAUUGAUUGACGCUGAUGGACGAAAGCGUGGGUAGCGAACAGGAUUAGAUACCCUGGUAGUCCACGCCGUAAACGAUGGAUACUAGCUGUUGGGCGCAAGUUCAGUGGCUAAGCGAAAGUGAUAAGUAUCCCACCUGGGGAGACG
rnacentral:rRNA from 1 species